rnacentral:rRNA from 1 species
UACGGGGGGAGCAAGCGUUGUUCGGAAUCACUGGGCGUAAAGGGCGUGUAGGCGGUUCGGUAAGUGGAAUGUGAAAUGCUCCGGCUCAACCGGAGUACUGCAUCCCAAACUGCCGAGCUUGAGUAUGGGAGAGGAUGAGGGAAUUCCUGGUGUAGCGGUGAAAUGCGUAGAUAUCAGGAGGAACACCGGUGGCGAAGGCGGCUUGCUGGGCCAGUUCUGACGCUGAGGAGCGAAAGCGUGGGGAGCGAACAGG